GUCUCCAGGAAGGGGCAGUACCACUUUGUCACAAGAGCCCUGUAGCUCGCUGGAUAUUUUCUAACCAACCCGUGUGUUAUUGGAGCUCUGGAGCAGUCGCUGUCCGACUUGCUGGGCUCCUCUGGGCAGAAAGUGGAGUUAGUAUUGUCCGAUCAACAAUGACCUGAUUGAAUGGCGGAGCUGUCUCGAUGGGGUGAAUGACCCACAUCUGCACCUGUGCCUUAAGAUCUAAAGAUGCUGCCAGAUUUACUGAAUUCCUCCAGCAUUUUCUGUUUUUGCUCCACAAACAAAAAGCUGUCACUUAACCACAUCAGGAUGAAGCAUUGGCAGGUAGUGAAGCAGUGAGGCAGAAAGCUCAUGGGACGGAAUGGACAGAAACGUUCAGAGCUUUUUUGGUUGAAAUGAGUUCAAUCUUUCCAAGUGACUGCCGAAUCGAUUCAUGUGGAGAAAGUGAGGACUGCAGAUGCUGGAGAUCAGAGUCGAGACUGGAAAAGCACAGCCGGUCAGGCAGCGUCCGAGGAGCAGGAGAAUCGAAACGUCAAUUCAUGUUAUCAAUCUUUGUUAUAUUUGUUGUUUUAUGUGGAGGGUACAGUUUAUAUUGACUGUUAAUUUGUGUUUGAUUUGAUUGUUUCUGCUCUGACUGUAACAAGAUCAGCCAGCUGGACAUCAUAAGAUCUGAGGUCCCUGAUUGGAGCGAUUAAUUUGGUCCAAUUAGGGAACCCUGGUUGACAUAUCGAAAGGGUGACACUUUCAAAGUAACUGACACUCUGGAGCCUGACUCUGAAUGAGGCAAUACUAUAGUCAAGGACAAUUAUGUGUCAAUAAUGGGUGACUUGGUGAUGGGAUCCAACCUCUGUGGAUUUAUUUCACUUUCAUUAAAAUGUAUUAUACGUGAAACUUUGUCUCAUUGCGUGAAUUUGACCACUUUGCUUCCUUUUGUUCAUUGAUCUCCACACGGAUCACACGAAAUUGGAGUUUAGCCAAGAAUGAUCUGAGUUAGGCUUUGAAAAGAGUCUUUUGGAGCUUUCCAGAAUUUGUAUGAAUGGUAUUUUGCAGUUAUUUCUGCUGUAUUUAUUGGGGAAUUAACAGGAAUAUCUUUAAUGGCUCAGUACUUUGUAAAGAGUGAAGAUUUUCAUCUUACAGAAUCAUAGAGGUGUACAGCACAGAAAAAAGGUCGUUCAGCCCAUCAAGUCUGUGCAACCCAAAAGCAACCCAAUAGAGUAUUCUCAUCCCAUUUUCCAACAGUAGGCCCCAAGCCUUGUAGUCGCAAAUACACGUCUAAAUACUUCCUCAAUGCUAAGUGGGUCUCUGCCUCUUACAGGCAGUGGGUUCCAGAUUCCAAAAACCCUCUGAGUGAAAAGAUAUUUCCUCAUAUUCCCUGUAGCUUCCUGUCCCUUAUCUUAGAUACCUCUGAGGGGUUUGAAUAACUAAUCAAAGAUAAUUUUGCAGAGAAAAUCAGGACCUAAGAAAGUAGGUUGUUAAAGAGUUGGCUGGGUAUCUGAAGUUAAAGAAAGAAGCAGAAUUUUCCAUGCAGACAUUAACCUCUGGUGAUGAAUGUGUUGAAUGGAUUCAUAUCUGCCAACACAUGGGGUGAGUUAUCUCGCACUAUCAUUUGGUUUUCAGUGCAUUAUUUCGGGAGGUGCAAUGUGUGUGAGUUACUUGGCAUAUUGUGUGGCAGGUCGGCUGGACAUUUGUGCUUGCACCUCUGGGAUUGUCUUUAGUUUGAAAGGCAGUGUAUUUAAAGGAAAUUAGGACAUCACUUCAGAUGCUGCAGGCUCAGAGCUUCUCCAUCAGCCUGUGAUGAUAAAUGUCAUGAGAACAGAAAUG